rnacentral:misc_RNA from 1 species
UUUCCGUAGGUGAACCUGCGGAAGGAUCAUUACCGAGUCCGGUACCUCCUGGUACCAACUCCCACCCUUUGUGAACCUAUCUACCGUUGCUUUGGCGGGCCGCGGCCCCGCCGCCCCCGGCACCCGCUGGGGAGCGCCCGCCGGAGGACCCUCCAAACUCGCUCAACAGUGGAAUCUGAGUCUUCAAUUAAAAAUCAAAACUUUCAACAACGGAUCUCUUGGUUCUGGCAUCGAUGAAGAACGCAGC